UAGCAAAAUGAAGCUGGAGGUGGGGAGCUACCUUUUAUGGACACCCGGCCAGCCAGUUAGCUAUAAAGUCCCUCUUGGUGGCUGCUUGCUUUACCUGUAAAGGGUUAAAAAGUUCCCCAGGUAAAGAAAAGGGAGUGGACCCCUGACCAAAAGAGCCAAUGGGAAGGCUAGAAC